rnacentral:lncRNA from 1 species
GCCAUUUUCCUAAGGCCAAAGAAAGGCUAAGGCUAUGGGAUCUGCCUUUGCGGCCGGGCUGGGUUUGUGCAGUACUACCUUGUUGUAGAAAACAAGCUAGCCACCUGCAGGUGUCGUAUAGGGCUGGGUCGGACUUAGACUAGCAUGUGUGUCACACAAGGAUUUGGCCUUCCCUUUCCCGUUGACCAAUGCGUCACCGUUAAUUUCCUCUCCAUCGACAUUCCCCGCCUUUCAAUUAAC